AGAAAGACAUAGUGGUUAUGAAAUUGGCUUGAAACCAGUUCCGGGGGGUUCGAAUCCUUCCUUUCUUA
rnacentral:tRNA from 1 species